UACAAUGUUUUGACUCUUUGUCUUAUUUAAAUUUUUUUGUGAUUAAUAUUUUUAUUCUUGUCAGAUGAUAAAACAUGAAUAGUACUUUAUACAUGACUAAUUUUUUAAAGUUUUUAUACAAAAUUUUUAAAUAAGACAAAUAGUCAAACGUUGGACAUAAAAAACGA
rnacentral:pre_miRNA from 1 species